rnacentral:rRNA from 1 species
GAUGAACGCUGGCGGUAUGCUUAACACAUGCAAGUCGAACGGACUCUUCGGAGUUAGUGGCGGACGGGUGAGUAACGCGUGAGAAUCUGGCUUUGGGUUCGGGACAACCACUGGAAACGGUGGCUAAUACCGGAUGUGCCGAGAGGUAAAAGAGAAAUUGCCUGAAGAUGAGCUCGCGUCUGAUUAGCUAGUUGGUGAGGUAAAGGCUCACCAAGGCAGCGAUCAGUAGCUGGUCUGAGAGGAUGACCAGCCACACUGAGACUGAGACACGGCCCAGACUCCUACGGGAGGCAGCAGUGGGGAAUUUUCCGCAAUGGGCGAAAGCCUGACGGAGCAAUACCGCGUGAGGGAAGAAGGCUCUUGGGUUGUAAACCUCUUUUCUUAGGGAAGAACAAAAUGACGGUACCUAAGGAAUCAGCAUCGGCUAACUCCGUG